CCUACGGGUGGCUGCAGUGAGGAAUAUUGGUCAAUGGACGAGAGUCUGAACCAGCCAAGUAGCGUGAAGGAUGACUGCCCUACGGGUUGUAAACUUCUUUUAUAUGGGAAUAAAAUGUUCCACGUGUGGGAUUUUGUAUGUACCAUAUGAAUAAGGAUCGGCUAACUCCGUGCCAGCAGCCGCGGUAAUACGGAGGAUCCGAUCGUUAUCCGGCUUUAUUGGGUUUAAAGGGAGCGUAGGUUGAUUGUUAAGUCAGUUGUGAAAGUUGGCGGCUCAACCGUAAAAUUGCAGUUGACACUGGCAGUCUUGAGUACAGUAGAGGUAGGCGGAAUUCGUGGUGUAGCGGUGAAAUGCUUAGAUAUCACGAAGAACUCCGAUUGCGAAGGCAGUUCACUGGACUGCAACUGACACUGAGGCUCGAAAGUGUGGGUAUCAAACAGGAUUAGAUACCCCUGUAGUC
rnacentral:rRNA from 1 species